rnacentral:rRNA from 1 species
UACGGGGGGUGCGAGCGUUUGUCCGGAAUCACUGGGCGUAAAGGGCGCGUAGGUGGCUUGGUAAGCGCGUGGUGAAAGCCCGGGGCUCAACCCCGGGUCUGCCAUGUGAACUACUAUGGCUUGAGCACUGUAGAGGCAGGUAGAAUUCCGGGUGUAGCGGUGGAAUGCGUUAGAGAUCCGGAAGAACCGCGGUGGCAAGGCGGCUGCUGGGCAGUGGCUGACACUGGAGGCGCGACAGCGUGGGGAGCAAACAGGAUUAGAACCUUCCGAGUCA